CCCGCGGCCUGCCGGCAGCAGCUCCGGAGAGCUGUGGGCCGCGGACACUGUCCGUCGUCCUGGAAAAGGCUCCCCGCGGGACUGUGGCUAAGUCAGUCCGCCCUGUGUGUGCCCCCCUCCCGGACGUCCCGCUUCGUCCAGUAAGGCAGCAGUGUCUGCUCAAUGCCGAGUAUAAAUGCAGAAAAACAAAGUCAGGGAAGCUAAGGUUGCUUCCCUAAAUUAGGUGGCGUGAGUGACGUUGAAAAUCGCGAUUCAGGGUUUCUAGAAAGUGAGUUGAGAAUCCAUCCCGGUGCUCCACCCCGCAGAGUAAUUCCACCCACUCAAGGUUGAAACAGAGUAACAGACUUCGAAUCCCCUGAACCCUCUACACCACUGCGGUCGCGUGCCUACUUUACUCUCUAGCAGGCAAACAGUUGACUUCUGGAUAUCGAAUCUGCGUGGAUUUGACCACGAAUCAUUCACAAUGUGGCAAGUUUUACCCUUAGUAAUUGAGUCAGAGACGAAUUGGGGCCUGGUGUGCUUGGAGAAAAAAGCGUGGCUGUGAGUUUGCCCAACUCCAGUACAAACUGUUUCAUUGUGGUUGCGUUUUUUGUUGUGUGACAUGGUGGUCGUUUUGAAAAGUAUGGAGACACUGCACCCUACAAGAUGACCUGUAACAAUCGUUUCAGCUUAAACUACAGACCUGAGUUGCUGCUGAGGACCCUCAUGAACACAGGGUACACCACAGUCUACCAAGAACUGCACAGUGGGAAAGAAUCCCCUGGGAUCUGAAGGACUGGAGGAAUCAGCUAGUGAGAAUAGAACCCUGCAGACCAACAGCAAGAGCGAAACGGGCUGGAAAAAUGACUCGUUGGUUGCUGGUUGCGAGAAUUUGUUGCUCUUACAGAGAAUGGAAGUUUGAGUCCCGGCACCUGAAUGGCAGCUCUGCCGAUGUAUCUAGUGACACAGUCCAAGACAGCCCUGAAGGAGACUGCCUGACUGACUUUCUGAAGCCACCAAGCGCUGAGCUGAACUCCCUGAGCCUUUCUUCACGCGCCCAGCUCUGAGACUGGAACCCUCUUCUGGCCCCGUUGUUUCCUGAGGCCCAGAUGAGAUUUGUAGUCACACCAUUCCCACUUCAUUCCGCUAGCUUCUCACUGCCUUUCCCACAUGUUGAGAUAUUUGACAGUUCCGACUCUAUCAUCCAAUGUUGUCGUUCCUUUAUUUUUUCUUUUCUAAAGAAAUCUUCAUGCAGGCUGGAGAGAUGGCUCCUCGAUUAAGAGCACUGGCUGCCCUUCCAGAGCCUGAGUUCAGUUCCAAGCAACCAUCCAGUGACUCACAAUUAUCGGUAAUGAGAUCUGGUGCCCUCUUCUGAUGUUCAGGCAUACUUGCAUAAAAAAUAAAUAAGUAAAUUGUAAAAAAAGAAGUCUUUAGGCUUGUCAGAGAAGAAACAAAAUGUUUGAGGAAAAAGAAGUAGAAUAAUCAGUUCCUAGCGUGGGCAUAUGCUGAGAUGCCAUGAACAAGGCUUAGUGUGUCUAAGCUUGGCUUAAAAGGCAGCAUCAUAAUCUCCAUGUCUCUCCACUUCAGGCAGAGAGGGGUUGGAGACAGGCUCUCUCAGGACUACCUUCACUGAAGUUUCAAAAUAAAUGUGCUUGCCUUCUGUGG